GAAGGGAGCUUGCUCCCGGAUGUUAGCGGCGGACGGGUGAGUAACACGUGGGUAACCUGCCUGUAAGACUGGGAUAACUCCGGGAAACCGGAGCUAAUACCGGAUAGUUCCUUGAACCGCAUGGUUCAAGGAUGAAAGACGGUUUCGGCUGUCACUUACAGAUGGACCCGCGGCGCAUUAGCUAGUUGGUGGGGUAAUGGCUCACCAAGGCGACGAUGCGUAGCCGACCUGAGAGGGUGAUCGGCCACACUGGGACUGAGACACGGCCCAGACUCCUACGGGAGGCAGCAGUAGGGAAUCUUCCGCAAUGGACGAAAGUCUGACGGAGCAACGCCGCGUGAGUGAUGAAGGUUUUCGGAUCGUAAAGCUCUGUUGUUAGGGAAGAACAAGUGCGAGAGUAACUGCUCGCACCUUGACGGUACCUAACCAGAAAGCCACGGCUAACUACGUGCCAGCAGCCGCGGUAAUACGUAGGUGGCAAGCGUUGUCCGGAAUUAUUGGGCGUAAAGGGCUCGCAGGCGGUUUCUUAAGUCUGAUGUGAAAGCCCCCGGCUCAACCGGGGAGGGUCAUUGGAAACUGGGAAACUUGAGUGCAGAAGAGGAGAGUGGAAUUCCACGUGUAGCGGUGAAAUGCGUAGAGAUGUGGAGGAA
rnacentral:rRNA from 2 species